rnacentral:rRNA from 1 species
GACGAACGCUGGCGGCGUGCCUAACACAUGCAAGUCGAACGAAGCUCGAAGCUCUGAGAUUUCGGUCAAGGAGCCUAGAUGACUUAGUGGCGAACGGGUGAGUAAUGCGUGAGCAACCUGCCUUUCAGAGGGGGACAACAGUUGGAAACGACUGCUAAUACCGCAUAAUAUACCUGGGUGGCAUCACUUGGGUAUCAAAGGAGCAAUCCGCUGAAAGAUGGGCUCACGUCUGAUUAGCUAGAUGGCAGGGUAACGGCCUACCAUGGCGACGAUCAGUAGCCGGUCUGAGAGGAUGAACGGCCACAUUGGGACUGAGAUACGGCCCAGACUCCUACGGGAGGCAGCAGUGGGGAAUAUUGGGCAAUGGGCGAAAGCCUGACCCAGCAACGCCGCGUGAAGGAAGAAGGCUUUCGGGUUGUAAACUUCUUUUAUCAGGGACGAAGGAUGUGACGGUACCUGAUGAAUAAGCCACGG